UGGGGAAUUGUUCGCAAUGGGCGCAAGCCUGACGACGCAACGCCGCGUGGAGGAUGGAGACCUUCGGGUCGUAAACUCCUUUCGAUCGAGACGAAUGGCCUCUGGGUGAACAAUCCAGGGGAAUGACGGUACCGAGAGAAGAAGCGCCGGCUAACUCCGUGCCAGCAGCCGCGGUAAGACGGAGGGCGCAAGCGUUGUUCGGAAUUACUGGGCGUAAAGCGCGGGCAGGCGGUCUGUUAAGUCGUUUGUGAAAAUCCGGGGCUCAACCCCGGAAAUGCAUACGAUACUGGCAGGCUGGAGACUGGUAGAGGCUAGCGGAAUUCCUGGUGUAGCGGUGGAAUGCGUAGAUAUCAGGAAGAACACCUGUGGCGAAGGCGGCUAGCUGGGCCUGUACUGACGCUCAUGCACGAAAGCGUGGGGAGCAAACAGGAUUAGAUACCCCAGUAGUCCCUGAGCGGGCUGGCAAGGCGCAU
rnacentral:rRNA from 1 species